rnacentral:rRNA from 1 species
UACGUAGGGUGCGAGCGUUAAUCGGAAUUACUGGGCGUAAAGUGUGCGCAGGCGGCCGAGCAAGUCGAGUGUGAAAGCCCCGGGCUCAACCUGGGAAUGGCAUUGGAAACUGGCUGGCUAGAGUGUGGCAGAGGGGGGUGGAAUUCCGCGUGUAGCAGUGAAAUGCGUAGAGAUGCGGAGGAACACCGAUGGCGAAGGCAGCCCCCUGGGCUAGCACUGACGCUCAGGCACGAAAGCGUGGGGAGCAAACAGG